rnacentral:rRNA from 1 species
UACGGGAGGCAGCAGUGGGGAAUAUUGCACAAUGGGCGCAAGCCUGAUGCAGCCAUGCCGCGUGUAUGAAGAAGGCCUUCGGGUUGUAAAGUACUUUCAGUCGUGAGGAAGGUGUUAAGGUUAAUAACCUUAGCAAUUGACGUUAGCGACAGAAGAAGCACCGGCUAACUCCGUGCCAGCAGCCGCGGUAAUACGGAGGGUGCGAGCGUUAAUCGGAAUUACUGGGCGUAAAGGGCACGCAGGCGGUUAAUUAAGUUGGAUGUGAAAUCCCCGGGCUUAACCUGGGAAUGGCAUUCAAGACUGGUUAGCUAGAGUCUUGUAGAGGGGGUAGAAUUCCAUGUGUAGCGGUGAAAUGCGUAGAGAUGUGGAGGAAAUACCGGUGGCGAAAGGCGGCCCCCUGGACAAAAGGACUGACGCUCAUGUGCGAAAAGCGUGGGGAGCAAACAGGGAUUAGAUACC